UCAGUCGUGUGCUCUUCCGAUCUGUUUGAUCCUGGCUCAGAAGGAACGCUAGCUAUAUGCUUAACACAUGCAAGUCGAAUGUUGUUUUCGGGGAGCUGGGCAGAAGGAAAAGAGGCUCCUAGCUAAAGUUGUCUCACCCUGCUUCAAAACUACAGGGCGCGCGCUACGGCUUUGACCUAACGGCCUCCCUUUGCUGGAAUCGGAAUAGUUGAGAACAAA